rnacentral:rRNA from 1 species
CGCUGGCGGCGCGCUUAACACAUGCAAGUCGAACGUGAAGCCCGGGCUUGCCCGGGNGGAAAGUGGCGAACGGGUGCGUAACACGUGAGCGACCUGCCCCGAAGACCGGGAUAACACCGGGAAACCGGUGCUAAUACCGGAUACCCUCAUCACGUCGCAUGGCGAGAUGAGGAAAUGGAUUCCGCUUCGGGAUGGGCUCGCGGUCUAUCAGCUUGUUGGUGGGGUAACGGCUCACCAAGGCUACGACGGAUAGCUGGUCUGAGAGGAUGUCCAGCCACACUGGGACUGAGACACGGCCCAGACUCCUACGGGAGGCAGCAGUGGGGAAUCUUGCACAAUGGGCGAAAGCCUGAUGCAGCGACGCCGCGUGCGGGAUGACGGCCUUCGGGUUGUAAACCGCUUUCAGCAGGGACGAUAAUGACGGUACCUGCAGAAGAAGCCCCGGCCAACUACGUGCCAGCAGCCGCGGUAAUACGUAGGGGGCAAGCGUUGUCCGGAUUUAUUGGGCGUAAAGAGCUCGUAGGCGGUUUGGUAAGUCUGGUGUGAAAUCUCCACGCUCAACGUGGAGGGGCCACCCGAUACUGCCAUGACUGGAGUCCGGUAGAGGAGUGUGGAAUUCCCGGUGUA